rnacentral:rRNA from 1 species
UUUUUGAUUAAUAAUUUAAAGUCUAAUCNGCCCACUGAUAAUAUAUUAAAGGGCUGCAGUAUUUUGACUGUACAAAGGUAGCAUAAUCAAUAGUCUCUUAAUUGGUGACUUGUAUGAAAGAUUUAAUGAGAUAUAUACUGUCUCUUUUUAAUUUAUAAAAUUUAAUUUUUUAGUUAAAAAGCUAAAAUGUAUUUAAAAGACGAGAAGACCCUAUAGAGUUUAAUAUUUAAUUAAAUUAAAAUUAUUUAUAAAAUUUAAAAUUUUAAUUUAAAUAAAUAUUUUGUUGGGGUGAUAAAAAAAUUAAAUAAACUUUUUUUAUAAAUUUACACUAAUAAGUGAAUAAAUGAUCCGUAAUUUACGAUUAAAAGAAUAAAUUACCUUAGGGAUAACAGCGUAAUUUUUUUUUUUAGUUCAAAUAAGAAAAAAAGUUUGCGACCUCGAUGUUGGAUUAAGAUAAAAUUUAAAUGCAAAAGUUUAAAAUUUUUGAUCUGUUCGAUCAUUAAAAUCUUACA